rnacentral:rRNA from 1 species
CAGUCGCCACGGUAAUACGUAGGUGGCAAGCGUUGUCCGGAAUUAUUGGGCGUAAAGCGCGCGCAGGCGGAUAGGUCAGUCUGUCUUAAAAGUUCGGGGCUUAACCCCGUGAUGGGAUGGGAACUGCCAAUCUAGAGUAUCGGAGAGGAAAGUGGAAUUCCUAGUGUAGCGGUGAAAUGCGUAGAUAUUAGGAAGAACACCAGUGGCGAAGGCGACUUUCUGGACGAAAACUGACGCUGAGGCGCGAAAGCCAGGGGAGCAAACAGGAUUAGAUACCCCGGUAGUCCCUGUCUCUUAUACA